rnacentral:rRNA from 1 species
UACAGAGGGGGCAAGCGUUAUUCGGAAUUAUUGGGCGUAAAGGGCGCGUAGGCGGCUUUGCAAGUGACGGGUGAAAUCCCUCGGCUUAACCGAGGAACUGCCUGUCAGACUGUGAGGCUUGAGACCGGGAGAGGUGAGUGGAAUUCCCAGUGUAGCGGUGAAAUGCGCAGAUAUCAGGAGGAACACCGGUGGCGAAGGCGGGUCUCUGGGCAAUAACUGACGCUGAGGAGCGAAAGCGUGGGGAGCGAACAGG